UACGUAGGGGACGAGCGUUGUCCGGAAUUACUGGGCGUAAAGGGCGCGCAGGCUGUAGAUCAAGUCAGCUGUGAAAUGUCUGGGCUUAACCCGGGCAUGCGGUUGAAACUGAUGUACUGGAGUGCUGUAGAGGCAAGUGGAAUUCCCAGUGUAGCGGUGAAAUGCGUAGAUAUUGGAAAGAACACCGGUGGCGAAGGCGACUUGCUGGGCAGCAACUGACGCUGAGGCGCGAAAGCCAGGGGAGCAAACGGGGAUUAGA
rnacentral:rRNA from 1 species